UAUCGGAGCCGGACUCAGCGGCUUGUCAGCCGCCAAGCUGCUGUCCGAGCGUGGCAUUGACGUCACCAUACUCGAAGCACGUGGCCGGGUCGGAGGCCGCCUGUUUACCAUAAAGAAUGAUUUGGUUGGCUGGGUGGACCUGGG